UCACCCUGCUCUGUGUCUAGAAGAGAGCUGAACACGCAGUAGGACACAAUAAAUUAUAUUCAAAUGGCAGUCAAGGAGGAAACUUUUCUUCCUCAUCAACAAAGCUGAUCGAUGGGGGCUGAAGCCCCAGGGAAGAAGCAUCUGUUGUAACUCAAGGAUCCCGGCUUGAGCUGAGGAUGGAAUUAACAGGCACAGAGUGGUUGGCAGCCCAACGUUUGUGCAAGUCUGGCACAUGCACACAUCAUUAGCAACUAUGCUGGAGAAGAAUGAUCAAGGAGGUGAGGAGGGGAAUGGAUCUGAUUAAAGGGAUGUUCAAGAAAGGAAAUUCCAAGCACUUGGGUAAAAGCUUCAUAGCUAAAAUGAAUGAACUCGUGAGCAAAGCAAACAGCCAGGUACAUUUGGGAGAUGCUGACAGACAAUCUGGAUAAUUUUGCCUCUGAAACUUUCAAAACAAAGUCAUUUCAUGCAGUGAAUCACUGCUGUUUGUUUGCUCUGCUGUUUGUUGG
rnacentral:lncRNA from 1 species